UGGCUUAUCAUUUGUUCUAACCAUUAACAAUUUUAUUAUUUUGUUUCUAUAGAAAUGCCUCUUAUUAAAUAUUUAAUUGCUUGCACCUUAUAGGGCUAACUUUAGGAGUCCACCUGCAUCACUGCCUUCCAAAAUGAGUUUAAACAAACUGACCUACUGUCAGGAUUAAGAGACUGGUUCAGUGAGAUGGAACAAUCUACCAAUUCGGCUUCUGGACUGAGAACUUCUUGGAGAAGUUUCAAAGAUUCCAGCUGGGCCCUCAGCACCUGCAACAUUCAGAAGCCUGAGGAAACCGGAUGGCCUGAGAGGAGAGCCUGAGGCUGCUGAGCUGGGACAGAACCAGGCCCAGUGGAAGCUGGUGUCCCUCAAUGAAAGACUUGGGCCAUGGGAUCCAGGCUUCCCACUGGGCAGUGAGCACUGUCUUCCCAUACAGAUGUCAGAAUAACACCCACUGAGCACCUACAUCCAACUUCAGCUUCGUCCAAAUCCCUCUCACUGAGGGGUUUCAACCUGUGAUGUGGGGGGUUAAAAUAGAAAGCAGGGGUUGUCUGAGUCCCACUAAGUUUGCUCUCUGACUAUAGAAAUCUUAAUACUGAAUCUUCAGAAACCCAAUUUGGCUAUCCAGUUUAGUCUUAGCCCCACAUCUCCCAAACCUCAACCUCUUUGUUAGCCACAAAGAGCCCCAUAAAGACUGAAUCCACCCCUGCCACCCCACGGCACACCCUGCCUUGCUCUGCCUGUCCGCCCUCACUCUAGUCUAAAUCACACCCUCAGGUCCUCUCGGUGCACGAGAUAAAAGACCAGCUAGCUGGACGAUGGCGACCCUCACCUUGGAACUUGCUAUUCGUUUCCCGCUUAGGGGCCUUAAAGGUAAAUACAAAUUAAAAACGAGGAGCUGAAUUCCCCUUGCUGAAAAUAAGGGAAGAGAAUUUUCUCCCCUUCCUUUUCUUAGAGUAUUUACUUUAGAAAACUUGUAAGUUCUUUCUCUGUCUCUUUGAAAUAUAUGUUCAUAAAUCUUUUUUAGAACCUGAAUAAGCCUCUUGUCAGCUUUAUGACCCAGGCAUGUCUUUCUCAAGGACCUGGGAGCCAUUUCCUUGAAAGGUAAACAUCAAGGGAGAUCGCCUGUCUCCCAGUUUCUGUGGGAGACAGGAGUAUCACUUUGGCAGGUGUCUGGAAUUGAGCUGUAAAACUACUUCUUGUCGUAAAGAUAGGAGAAGUUUAUAUUUCCUUUGUAUAAAAUCAAUUAACUAAGACAGAUGGUGACCCCAAUUACCAGAUAAAUUUAAGAUGAACUCUGUUUGACAAAUGGUGCUAUCCAGUCCUCUUACUUGAGGACUAGUUCUGGUUUAUCUCAAGGACAUGUAUGUAAUGGGUCAUAUCUGCUUGGCUAUAUAAGGGGUAAAAUUUCUUUCUGCCUUUGCAAUCUCUUAACAGGUUGCCUGUGAUGCAUAUCACAUUCUGGUUUUAUGCUUAUUUAAUAAAAUUGUUUUCUUUCUCUUC